rnacentral:rRNA from 1 species
UGGAGGGGGCAAGCGUUGCUCGGAAUCACUGGGCGUAAAGGGCGCGUAGGCGGGAUGGCAAGUCGGUCGUGAAAUCCCUGGGCUCAACUCAGGGGGGUCGGCCGAUACUGCCGUUCUUGAGGGAUGCAGAGGAGACUGGAAUUCCCGGUGUAGCGGUGAAAUGUGUAGAGAUCGGGAGGAACACCGGUGGCGAAGGCGGGUCUCUGGGCAUUCCCUGACGCUGAGGCGCGAAAGCGUGGGGAGCAAACGGGAUUAGAUACCCCGGUAGUCCACGCGGUAAACGAUGACGACUAGGUGUGGGGGGGUUAAGUCCCUUCCGUGCCGCAGCUAACGCAUUAAGUCGUCCGCCUGGGGAGUACGGCCGCAAGGUUGA